rnacentral:other from 1 species
CUCCCUGGGGUGUUUGCCGGUAGGCCAUGUCCCUCUCCCGAUAAGCAAAACCUUGGAGGCUGUACGUGUGGCCCGUGUGCAUGUCCGCUCGACGGAAAGCCUUAAGGUCGCCUGCAGUCGCCACCUUGAACUCUCGGGUUCAAGGGCCAAAGCCGAAAGCGGCACUUUGGGGAGU